rnacentral:rRNA from 1 species
AUACGUAUGGUGCAAACGUUGUUCGGAAUCACUGGGCUUAAAGAGCACGUAGGCGGUCGAAAAAGUCUGGUGUGAAAUCCCUCGGCUUAACCGAGGAACUGCAUUAGAUACUGCUCGACUCGAGUGCGGGAGGGGAGAGUGGAAUUCCUGGUGGAGCGGUGAAAUGCGUAGAUAUCAGGAGGAACAUCAGUGGCGAAGGCGACUUCCUGGACCAAUACCGACGCUGAGGUGCGAAAGCGUGGGGAGCAAACAGGAUUAGAAACCCCAGUAGUCC